AAGAGCCAGGUGAGUCAUCGAAUCUUUGAACGCACAUUGCGCCCGCCAGUAUUCUGGCGGGCAUGCCUGUUCGAGCGUCAUUUCAACCAUCAAGCCCCAGGCUUGUGUUGGGGACCUGCGGCUGCCGCAGGCCCUGAAAUCCAGUGGCGGGUUCGCUGUCACCCCGAGCGUAGUAGCAAUAUCUCGCUCAGGGCGUGCUGCGGGCACCGGCCGUUAAAAGCUGCCUUCUGGCAACACCCAAGGUUGACCUCGGAUCAGGUAGGAAUACCCGCUGAACUUAAGCAUAUCAAUAAGCGGAGG
rnacentral:misc_RNA from 1 species